AUGAACGCUAGCUACAGGCUUAACACAUGCAAGUCGCGGGGCAGCAUGAAGGAUGCUUGCAUCUUUUGAUGGCGACCGGCGCACGGGUGAGUAACGCGUAUCCAACCUGCCUGUUACCACGGCACAGCCCGUCGAAAGGCGGAUUAAUGCCGUAUGUGGUCCUUUGCGGGCAUCUAAUUAGGACUAAAGGUUCAGCGGUAACGGAUGGGGAUGCGUCCGAUUAGCUAGACGGCGGGGUAACGGCCCACCGUGGCUACGAUCGGUAGGGGUUCUGAGAGGAAGGUCCCCCACACUGGAACUGAGACACGGUCCAGACUCCUACGGGAGGCAGCAGUGAGGAAUAUUGGUCAAUGGGCGUAAGCCUGAACCAGCCAAGUAGCGUGAGGGAAGACUGCCCUAUGGGUUGUAAACCUCUUUUGUGCGGGGAUAAAGUGUGGGACGUGUCUCAUAUUGCAGGUACCGCACGAAUAAGGACCGGCUAAUUCCGUGCCAGCAGCCGCGGUAAUACGGAAGGUCCGGGCGUUAUCCGGAUUUAUUGGGUUUAAAGGGAGCGCAGGCCGUCCUUUAAGCGUGCUGUGAAAUGCCGCGGCUCAACCGUGGCACUGCAGCGCGAACUGGAGGACUUGAGUACGCACGAGGUAGGCGGAAUUCGUGGUGUAGCGGUGAAAUGCUUAGAUAUCACGAAGAACUCCGAUUGCGAAGGCAGCUUACCGGAGCGCAACUGACGCUGAGGCUCGAAAGCGCGGGUAUCGAACAGGAUUAGAUACCCUGGUAGUCCGCGCGGUAAACGAUGGAUGCCCGCCGUUGGGAUUUGGAUUUCAGCGGCCAAGCGAAAGCGUUAAGCAUCCCACCUGGGGAGUACGCCGGCAACGGUGAAACUCAAAGGAAUUGACGGGGGCCCGCACAAGCGGUGGAGCAUGUGGUUUAAUUCGAAGCAACGCGAAGAACCUUACCAGGCCUUGACAUCCCUUGCAGAGGUAUAGAGAUAUAUCCGAGGUUAUCAAUGAGACAGGUGGUGCAUGGUUGUCGUCAGCUCGUGUCGUGAGAUGUUGGGUUAAGUCCCGCAACGAGCGCAACCCCUGUUGCCAGUUGCCAGCAUUAAGUUGGGGACUCUGGCGAGACUGCCGGUGACAAGCCGGAGGAAGGCGGGGAUGACGUCAAAUCAUCAUGCCCCUUAUGAUCUGGGCUACACACGUGCUACAAUGGCGUAACAAAGGGAAGCGAGCCUGCGAGGGUGAGCAAAUCCCAAAAAUAACGUCCCAGUUCGGACUGUAGUCUGCAACCCGACUACACGAAGCUGGAAUCGCUAGUAAUCGCGAAUCAGCAUGUCGCGGUGAAUACGUUCUCGGGCCUUGUACACACCGCCCGUCAAACCAUGGGAGUUGGUAAUGCCCGAAGCCGGUGGCAUAACCCUUCGGGGAGUGAGCCGUCGAAGGCAGGACCGAUGACUGGGGUU
rnacentral:rRNA from 1 species